CAGGCCUUUCCAGAAUGACUGC
rnacentral:miRNA from 1 species